CCCUGUAGCAUGCUCUUUUUAGGUCUUUAGGGAAUAGACCGAGAAGGGGAAUAGCUGGGUCAAAUGGUGGCUCCAUUCCCAGCUUUCCAAGAAAUCUCCGUACUGCUUUCCAAAUUGGCUGCACCAAUUUGCAGUCCCACCAGCAAUGUACAAGCGUACCCUUUUCCCCACAUCCUCGCCAGCACUUGUUGUUGUUUGACUUCAUAAUGGCUGCCAAUCUAACUGGAGUGAGAUGGUAUCUUAGGGUGGUUUUGAUUUGCAUUUGAGAGAGAGAAUUUUUAAAAUAUUUAUUUAUUUUUUUUUAGUUUUUCGGCGGACACAGCAUCUUUGUUUGUACGUGGUGCUGAGGAUCGAACCCAGGCCGCACGCAUGCCAGUCGAGCGCGCUACCGCUUGAGCCACAUCCCCAGCCCGCAACCCCACUCUUGAUACCACUUUCUGUUUUAGUCAUCUUUGCUGCCAUGAACAAAAGACCUGACAAGAACUAUUAGAAGAGAAAAAGUUUAUUUGAGGGCUCACUGUUUCAGAGGUCUCAGUCCACAGAUGGCUGCCUUCAAUCUUUGAAACCUGAAUUGAGGCAGACCAUUAUGGCAGAAUAGUAUGAUUUGAGAGAAGCAGCUGGGGAUAUGACACCAGGAAGCAGAGAGAGGGAACUUUGUUCACAAGGACAAAAUAUUAUACCCUAAAGGCAUGACCCCAGGUUCCCACCUCCAGCCACACCCUGCUUGCCUAGAGUUGCCAUUCAUUUAAUCCCUAUCAAUGGAUUAAAACAUUUGAUAACCCAAUAAUUUUACCUAUAAACUUUCUGCAUUGUUUUACACAUGAGCCUUUGGGGGACACCUCAUAUACAAACCAUAACACAUUUUUUUCAUAGAUGGUAUAAACAACAAUAUGUUUGACAACCAGAUCUGGUAACCAUGUAAGAAAAUAGGCACUUUUAUAUACUGAUUGUGUUACUAAAAGCUCAGUUCUUAUCUCCAAUGCCAAUCUGAUAAUUAGAACAUGAUUCUGAGAAAAAGGAAAAAGAACUUUUAUUACUUUGUUAGUAAAGGAGAAAUAGAAGUUGUGAUUCUAACUAUCGGGGGAACAGGGGACUUUUAAAGAGGUGAUUCAAAGGCUAUGUUCCUGCAGUGCCCUGUUGGGUCAUAAUGCACUCGUAGCCUUGAGAGAGAGUUGUUUCUUAAGUCUUCUGGCAUAAGUCCUGAAGUCUGAAUUACUUCAUUCCCAUGGCUGUGUGCUCAAGGAAAGGUAGCUGGCUUAGGAUGGGAAGAAGUUAAUCUUGCUUGCCUCAUGAUUAGGGAGAGGGAGAAGAGAAAGGAAAAAAUGUCCAUUUUAAAAUAAGCUGCAGGGGCAGAGCAGUCAGGAUUAUGUUCAAAGCAUGAAGUGGACCCCUGUUACAGUUGAGUGAGUGUAAAUCAGUGUACACUUCUUUGAGAAUAAUUUGGUAAUCUUUAUCAUUUGGAUAAACAUUUCCACUGCUAGGAAUUUACCCUUGGAAACACUUCCAAAAUUCUAAUCUCAUAACAGAUACUAGAAUGUUUUCAUUUACAAUGCAAAGAGAAAAGAUAGAACCUUGGGAACUAUCUUGGGAACCCCCAAGGGCUGUCAUGGGAGAAGACAUGUCUCAGGAGAAGGGUCCUAGGAGUUCCCAGAGGAGAGGGGGAACUCAACUCAGAAUCACUGGGUUUUUUGGCAUACCUAAUGGAAAAUAAUUUCAGCACAAGCCAGGAAAAUGUGGCAACAUAUUUAUUUGGGAAGCUAGACACACAUGCAAUGGAGAAUGAGUGCUAUCUUGAGAGUGAGAAGCCAUGCCUUGGGCUGGGGAUUCAAUAUUUAUAGAAGGGCUAUAACAGGGAACAGACUGAAGGUGGAGCCAGUUUUCCCUAUGCUUGUGUAUUUCUCUAAUUUUACAGGGCAUGUUGCUCAAGACUUACAACUGUGCUUUCUGUAUCUCUAGUGGGCAUUUCCUUUAAGAUUCAGUAUUUCUCUGAGUCCUACAUCCCUAUCUCAGGAUCGAUAUGGUUUGCAUAUGCUUUGUACCCCAAAGAUUCAUGUGAUAGAAGUUUAGUCCCUAGUGUAUUAGUGUUGAAGUGGUGAAACAUUUAGAGGUGGGGCUUACUGGAAGCUAAUCACAUUAUAGGGGUUCCACCUUCAUGAAUGGAUUAAUGCUCUCUUGAAGGCCAGGGCCAGGUCUCAUGAAAGUGGAUCAGUUCCCUCGUGGUAUGAGUCUUGUAAUUCCCCUGCAUCCUUCUUACAGGACAGCUUGCUUCUUUUGCAUGUACUCCUCUGUUUCCAUACAUGAUGAGACCCUCACCAGAGCCAAGCAGGGUGAGAUCCUCACCAGGUGCCAUAAUCUUAAAAUCCAGAAUGGUAAAUAACAUAAACCCCUUAAGAAAAUAAAGUAUUCCUGGGCAUGGUAGCACAUGCCUAUGAUCCCAGCUGCUCAGGAAUCUGAGGCAGGAGGAUUGCAAGCUUAAAGCCAGCUUCAGCAACUUAGUGAGGCCCUAAGCAACUUAGACUCUGUCUUAAAAAAUAAAGUCUUGGGAUGUGACUCAGUAGUCAAGCACCCCUGGGUUCAAUUCCUGAUACUGUAAUAAAUAAGUAAAUAAAAAAUAUCCAUCUUUAGGCAUUUUAUUAGAGCAACAAAAAAAUGGACUAAGACAGAAACUAUAUAUAGAAAAUUGAUAGAUCCAUGGGAUGGAAUAGUAUGUAGACUUAAAAAUGUAAAUAAUAAUUUUUUUUCUGCUCAUUGAGGAUCAUGAGAUUCACAUUGAUUUAUCAAAACUGCCUACCAGUUUUGGGUGUGACUCAGUGGUAUGGUGCUUUUCUCACAUGUACCCCAGGUUCAGUACCCAACAUUGAUAAACAAAACACAAACCUGCAAAUCAAAGAUUUCCUGGGGCAGUUUCCUCAGAAAUAGAAUGAAAAAGGCAUCCUCUUUUUCCCUGCCUUUACAUUAUUUUCAUUCAAGAGUAGGUCCAGGGGAAUAAAUUAUGGGGGCUGUGUUUCCUUAAUUACUCAUCUAACCAUAGCUACAUUUGAGGUUCUCCAGGACUAAAUUGUCUUUUCCAAGAGAUAUGAUUUAUUCAUUCCAUAAUCCCAAGUACUUUGCUUGUCAAAUAUACCCCUCUGCCCAAAUUAACAUUCUGCUUAUAUUCUGUAAUUUUGAUUGCAAGUUUUGGAGAGCAGAAAUCUAUUCAUUUUUUUCUCCUAAAAAAACAGGUUUUUUACAAAUGUAAAAUGAGUUCCCAAAUAUCUGUGGGAUGUGAAAAUAAGACAGUAACUGGAGCCUAAGGAUGUAGCUCAAAUGAAGAGAACUUUUCUUAGUUGCAGUUAGUUGUACUAACUAAUACAUAGGCCAGAACACACUGAAUUUCCUGAGAUUUCUCAACAGCGUUACCAAAAAAUAAUAAUAAUAAUAACAAGAAUAUCCCUAACCAUGAGCAAGGCUUUACAUAUAUACAUGCCCGGGUUUUUGGUUAUAUUCAGAACUCUAAAAACCCUGUUCCCUAUACUCCAAAUAUCUUACUAAAUCAUUCAGGGGAUAAUGAUAACAAUAUAAGAAAAUAUCUGUCCUUCUUAAAAGAGCAUUGUUAUCUUUCUUUUUCUGUAAUGGGUUUUAAUCCAGGGGUGCUCCACCAUUUUGCUACAUUCCCAGCCAUUUUUAUUUUAGUUUUGAGACAGGGUCUUGCUAAAUUGCUGAGGCUGGCCUCAAAUUUGCAAUCCUCCUCUCUCAGCCUCCUGCGUUACUGGGAUUAACAGUCUUGUGCCACUAUCCCAGGUUAGGAUUUUUAUAUUAAAAGUGCUGAAGUUACACUACAGAAACUGCUAUUCAUUUAAUUUUAUUUUUUAGAUUGAUUCUUUAGGUUGAUUUAAUUUUUAAAAUGUAUAUCUGAGGACUUUGUUCUCAACCAUGCACAGCUGUCCUUCUAAAAAUUCUCAUGAGGUAAAUAUGUUUAACCUGAUUUAAAUAUUACACAAUGUAUACAGAUACCAAAUAUUUUCAUUUCCAUUAAUAUUUAUGUACUACAGGGCUGGGGUUAUGGCUGAGUGUUAGAGUACCUGCCUGGCAUGUGUGAGGCCCUAGGUUCGAUUCUCAACACCACAAUAAAUAAAUAAAUGAAUAAAGCUAUUGUAUCCAUCUACAACUACAAAAAAAAAAUUAAAAAAAAUAUGUACUCCAUUAAUAAUUAUGUUUUUUGUAUCAUUUAACAAAAAU
rnacentral:lncRNA from 1 species